AAAAUGAAAUCAUUGAAUAUUAGGCGCAACAUAAAAUCCAUGGAUGAUAUCAACGAAUGGGUAAAACAAUUUAGAAAAUCAACAAAUGCUAAAUGGAACAGUAGUUCUUCAGGAAAACGAUUUGUUUACUGGAAAAAAUUUGUAUACCAACAUUCAAUAAAGUGCUAUUUACCAAGAAUAAGAAAGGAAUUUUUAAAAAAAAUGCUAAAUGCCUUCCCUCUGUUAUGGUGAAGAGAAAACUAAAAACUACACACAUGAGAACGGAAGAUGAUUUUCUAAGAUUUUGAAAAAGGCUGUAAUGUAUCUAGCAAAAAUAUCAUCUGAAGGACAGUGCGAAAAAAUGCUGACAACUCUUUGCAGUAAUGUUCCUCUAAAGUGAAAGGCUGGU